rnacentral:piRNA from 1 species
GAUUUUUGGCUUUUCUCUCCUCCUUCAGA